CGGCGGACGGCUCAUAACACGUGGCCAAUCUGCCUAAGACAGGAUAACCUCGCGAAAGUGAGGACAACACCUGAUAGGUGAAGAGUCCUGGAAUGGUUCCUCGCUCAAAGGAUACUGGACACAUGCUGUUCAGUGUUGCUCUAGGAUGAGGCUACGGCUGAUCAGGUAGUUGGUGGGGUAACGGCCUACCAAGCCUAUUACCAGUACGGGCCGUGAGAGCGGGAGCCCGGAGAUGGGCACUGAGACUAUGGCCCAGGCCCUACGGGGCGCAGCAGGAGCGAAACCUCCGCAAUGCGCGAAAGCGCGACGGGGCCGCCCCGAGUGCUAUCCGUUGAGGAUAGCUUUUCAUUAGUCUAAGAAGCUGAUGGAAUAAGCGGGGGGCAAGCCUGUUGUCAGCCGCCGCGGUAAUACCAGCUCCUCGAGUGGUCGGGACGUUUAUUGGGUCUAAAGCGUACGUAACCGCGAUACUAAGCACCCGGAUAAAGCCCACGGCUUAACCGUGGGAUUGCCGAAGAAACUGAUAGGCUAGAGGGCGGAAGAGG
rnacentral:rRNA from 1 species